rnacentral:rRNA from 1 species
AGUGAACGCUGGCGGUAGGCCUAACACAUGCAAGUCGAACGGCAGCACGGUAAGAGCUUGCUCUUACGGGUGGCGAGUGGCGGACGGGUGAGGAAUACAUCGGAAUCUACUUUUUCGUGGGGGAUAACGUAGGGAAACCUACGCUAAUACCGCAUACGACCUACGGGUGAAAGCAGUGGAUCUUCUGACCUUGCGCGAUUGAAUGAGCCGAUGUCGGAUUAGCUAGUUGGCGGGGUAAAGGCCCACCAAGGCGACGAUCCGUAGCUGGUCUGAGAGGAUGAUCAGCCACACUGGAACGGAGACACGGUCCAGACUCCUACGGGAGGCAGCAGUGGGGAAUAUUGGACAAUGGGCGCAAGCCUGAUCCAGCCAUACCGCGUGGGUGAAGAAGGCCUUCGGGUUGUAAAGCCCUUUUGUUGGGAAAGAAAAGCAGCAGGUUAAUACCCCGCUGUUCUGACGGUACCCAAAGAAUAAGCACCGGCUAACUUCGUG